UACGUAGGGUGCGAGCGUUGUCCGGAAUUAUUGGGCGUAAAGAGCUCGUAGGCGGUCUGUCGCGUCGGUCGUGAAAACUUGGGGCUUAACCCUGAGCUUGCGGUCGAUACGGGCAUGACUGGAGUUCGGCAGGGGAGACUGGAAUUCCUGGUGUAGCGGUGAAAUGCGCAGAUAUCAGGAGGAACACCAGUGGCGAAGGCGGUGGUCUGGGCCGUAACUGACGCUGAUGAGCGAAAGCGUGGGUAGCAAACAGG
rnacentral:rRNA from 1 species